UACGGAGGGAGCUAGCGUUGUUCGGAAUUACUGGGCGUAAAGCGCACGUAGGCGGCUUUGUAAGUUAGAGGUGAAAGCCCGGAGCUCAACUCCGGAACUGCCUUUAAGACUGCAUCGCUUGAAUCAUGGAGAGGCGAGUGGAAUUCCGAGUGUAGAGGUGAAAUUCGUAGAUAUUCGGAAGAACACCAGUGGCGAAGGCGGCUCACUGGUCCGGUACUGACGCUGAGGUGCGAAAGCGUGGGGAGCAAACAGG
rnacentral:rRNA from 1 species